ACUCAAUAGCAAAUGGAUUGGGCUCUAUGUUCUCUGUCAGACCUGUGUGGCUUUGCUACAUAUCCAGGCUGAGAAGAUAUCCUUUUCCAUAUUCUCCCAAACCCUCUGUUAUUUGAGCCAUGGACUUUCCUUCUUACAGGCUUAUAUGCUCUCACUUAGAGAUUGUUUAUUUUUAUUUAACAGAGGUCAUAAUAAUUGUGGGUUUCUUGGUUUCCCAGCUCAAAGUAGAUUAAAAGUAACACAUUAGGAAGUCAGAGAAAAUGUUAGAAGCAGGCAAACUGGCAGCUAUGAAGUAACAGUUCAUAGAUAAGGAAGGAAGAAGCAGAAAAUUAAAAAACAGAUUCAGAACUGCAUGUAUUUCAUAUAAUAAUGCAGUGCUAGUGAUUCAUAAUGAUAGUGUAGUUAUCAAAAAGACCAA
rnacentral:lncRNA from 1 species